rnacentral:rRNA from 1 species
AUUGAACGCCGGCGGUAGGCCUAACACAUGCAAGUCGAACGCGAAAGUCCUUCGGGAUGAGUAGAGUGGCGGACGGGUGAGUAACGCGUAGGAAUCUAUCCCGUAGUGGGGGAUAACGUUUCGAAAGGAACGCUAAUACCGCAUACGCCCCAAGGGGGAAAGCGGGGGAUCUUCGGACCUCGUGCUAUAGGAGGAGCCUGCGUCGGAUUAGCUAGUUGGUGAGGUAAAGGCUCACCAAGGCGACGAUCCGUAGCUGGUCUGAGAGGAUGAUCAGCCACACCGGAACUGAGACACGGUCCGGACUCCUACGGGAGGCAGCAGUGGGGAAUAUUGCGCAAUGGGCGAAAGCCUGACGCAGCCAUACCGCGUGUGUGAAGAAGGCCUUCGGGCUGUAAAGCACUUUCAGUGGGGAGGAAAAGCUGGUGGCUAAUAUCCAUCGGCCGUGACGCUACCCACAGAAGAAGCACCGGCUAAUUCCGUGCCAGCCGCCGCCGUAAAAC